rnacentral:tRNA from 1 species
AUUUUUAAACUUUUAUUAAAA